rnacentral:rRNA from 1 species
GACGAACGCUGGCGGCGUGCUUAACACAUGCAAGUCGAACGGUGAAGCGCCUUCCUUUUUGGUGGGUGUGGAUGAGUGGCGAACGGGUGAGUAACACGUGAGUAACCUGCCCCCUUCUUCUGGAUAACCGCAUGAAAGUGUGGCUAAUACGGGAUAUUCUGGGUCUGUCGCAUGAUGGGUCUGGGAAAGAUAUUGUUUCGGUGGGGGAUGGGCUCGCGGCCUAUCAGCUUGUUGGGGGGGUGAUGGCCUACCAAGGCGGUGACGGGUAGCCGGCCUGAGAGGGUGGACGGUCACACUGGGACUGAGACACGGCCCAGACUCCUACGGGAGGCAGCAGUGGGGAAUAUUGCACAAUGGGCGCAAGCCUGAUGCAGCGACGCCGCGUGAGGGAUGGAGGCCUUCGGGUUGUGAACCUCUUUCGCCAGUGAAGCAGGCCUGCCUCGUAUGUGGGUGGGUUGACGGUAGCUGGAUAAGAAGCGCCGGCUAACUACGUG